rnacentral:rRNA from 1 species
UACGUAGGGGGCAAGCGUUGUCCGGAAUCAUUGGGCGUAAAGAGCGCGUAGGCGGCCCUGUAAGUCCGCUGUGAAAGUCAAGGGCUCAACCCAUAGUCUGCAUCGGAAACUGUCGGGCUUGAGUAUGGGAGAGGUGAGUGGAAUUUCCGGUGUAGCGGUGAAAUGCGUAGAUAUCGGAAGGAACACCUGUGGCGAAAGCGGCUCACUGGACCAUUACUGACGCUGAGGCACGAAAGCUAGGGGAGCAAACAGG